GCCCCGCCGGGCCUGCCCCGCGCAGUCCCGGUCCCGGCGCCACAGCCGCCUGCCCGUCCGCUUCUUGCCCGGCCCGGGAUGACGGCGGCCCAGGCCGCGGGCGAGGAGGCCCCCCCAGGCGUGUGUUCCGUCAAGGUGGUCCUGGUGGGCGACGGUGGCUGCGGGAAGACGUCGCUGCUGACGGUCUUUGCUGAUGGGGCCUUCCCCGAGAGCUACACCCCCACGGUGUUUGAGCGGCACCUGAUCAGCCUGCAAGUGAAAGGCAAGACCGUGCACCUCCACAUCUGGGACACAGCAGGGCAAGAUGACUACGACCGCCUUCGGCCCCUGUUCUACCCUGACGCCAGCGUCCUGCUGCUCUGCUUCGAUGUCACCAGCCCGAACAGCUUUGACAACGUCUCUGCCCGGCUGCCUUGCCAUGGCACAGCCCCUCACCCACUGCUGCCAGGGCCUCCGAGGUUCUGCCAGGUACAACCUGUGAUAGUAUUUGCAACAACAACAACACCGAUGGCGACAAUUUUAAGGACUGAUCACGUGCCAGGCACUGCUCUGGUGGUACCCAGAAGUGAAUCAUUUCUGCAAGAACGUGCCCAUCAUCGUCGUGGGCUGCAAGACUGACCUGCGCAAGGACAAAUCACUGGUGAACAAGCUCCGAAGAAAUGGGCUGGAGCCUGUGACCUACCACAGGGGCCAGGAGAUGGCGAGGUCUGUGGGCGCGGUGGCCUACCUUGAGUGCUCAGCUCGGCUCCAUGACAACGUCCACGCCGUCUUCCAGGAAGCGGCCAAUGUGGCUCUCAGCAGCCGCAGUCGCAACUUCUGGCGGCAGAUUACCCAGGGCUUUUGCGUGGUGACCUGAGCGGCGCCUGGCGUCCCAGCGGCGCGGGAAGGGGCUGGGCACUGACGUGCUGCUGAGCUGGCUGGGCUGGACCUGGUCCCCAGGCUGUGACCGCCGAACUGCACCGCAACAGACGGGUGCCAUCAAGGCCAGGCCUUGGGAGUCCUGGCCUGAGAAAGGGCGUUCCUGGGCCCACCUGCCCUGUGGAGGGCUCGCCCUGUGGUGCCUGGGAAUCACUCCCUGACCCGGGUACCAGCUCCCGAUCAACAUCCUGGAGCUGCCUGUGCAGGCUGAUGCCCCCUCGUGGCUGCUCCCAGGGCUGCAUCUGCCAGGACCUAGUGUUCUUAAGGAUCCUCCUGCCAGAACCCACACCUGGCCCCUUCCCACCUGUCAUGCUGGUAACUGUAACAACGAAAUUGACAUCACUU